UUCAUUCGCUAAAUUUAUGCAUCAACUAUGAUUUUGAUCGCGUUUAAGUCAUCAAACAUGAAGUGACCAUCGCAAUAGAAACGCGAGAAAGCAAUCAAUCGAGGGAUUUGGCUUCAGCGUUCUGUUCACCAGGAUUGGAAACUGAAUGCAAAGCUACAUAGAUCUGAAAGCAAG